CCUUGGAGUGCCCCCAGUUUGAAUUGGAGAUAAAAGGUAUGGUCUUGUUGAAAUUGCCCCCAAAUUGAGCUGCACCUUCCAAUUGAGGCAGAAAGAAUCGCCUUUUGAUACGUUCCACAAUUGGAAUGCAAAUUCUCUCCCAUCUCCUAGACACCUGGGCCUGCCCCCAUUUUUCUUGACUGUAAUCUGUUUAGCUUGUGCAUAAAAUGGCAAAAACAAAGAGUCUUUCUGUAAAAGAAAAAGAAGAGGAAAGAAAGUAGAUUCUGUGUCCUCUUCCUUAGUCCUUGCCAAAUCUUUGCUCCCAGGCCUCGGCAGGUGGCAGUGUACAUGAGUCAUGCAGUCUAUCUUUCUGUUUUGUUUGUUAUUAACCACUGAAAUGAUGGCACCAUUCCUGGAGUUAGGCCUUCAACCAAAGAGCUGGGCCAUCCGUGGCAAUGCCUCCCAGGCUUGGGAGCUGGGAAAAGGCCCCAGGAGCUAGGGCAUCCUGAUUGUUCUUUCAAAGAAAUCCCUCUUGUUCUUAGUCAACAUGCUGGAUACCAGCUAAAAAAUGCAAAAUGAUCUUCAGGCAGGGAUGGCACAGGACCCUUGCUGAGCUGUGAAGCCUGGCUGUGAGGAUUCCUGCAUGGAAACAUCAACAUGUUGCCAGAUUGGUAUACGACUCAACACCACACUGACAUGCUGCUCCCAAACAGUGCCUUUGAAUCAAGACCCAGUCAUCGUAUUCGAAGAAAAAGGAAAUAUCCCUGACCAUGUUGGGACUUAACACUGCUUCACAGAGCUAAAACAUCCUUGGGCAUUACAUAUGAAACCAACAUACAAAGACUGUAAAAGUUGAAGAGAAG
rnacentral:lncRNA from 10 species